GUUUGAUGAUUAACGAAGCUUGGUUGAUUAGUAGAGGCAAGAAGUCGUGCCCACAUCCUGCCUGUCAUGUUAACGGUGUUUGUAGUUUCAGUGACACGAUUAAUUGGAAUAUAAGCAUGUCUGCUGUUUACAGGUCCAACUGUGAAGCCUGUGAAUCCAGCCAUCGCUCCAUGGACAGCACUUUGUGCAAGAAGUGUACAGUAGAUGUUAUCUGAUGCAUUGCUUGGAAUUG
rnacentral:misc_RNA from 1 species